GGCCACGGAAAGCAGGACUCAGUGACUCUGUCCAGCAUGGCCUGGUCCCCUGUCCUCCUCACUCUCAUCGCUCACUGCGCAGGAUCCUGGGCCCAGUCUGUGCUGACUCAGCCGCCCUCAGUGUCUGGGGCCCCGGGCCAGACGGUCACCAUCUCCUGCACUGGAAGCAGCUCCAACAUUGGAGAUAAUCAUGUACAUUGGUACCAACAGCUCCCAGGAACAGCACCUAAGCGCAUCAUCUAUGGUAGUAGCAAUAGACCCUCAGGGGUCCCUGAUCGAUUCUCUGGCUCCAAGUCUGGCAGCUCAGCCACCCUGACCAUCUCUGGGCUCCAGGCUGAGGACGAGGCUGAUUAUUACUGCUCCUCAUGGGACGAUAGUCUCAGAGGUCACACAGUGCCCCAGGCUGCGGGGAAGUGA